rnacentral:rRNA from 1 species
UACGUAGGUGGCUAGCGUUGUCCGGAUUUACUGGGCGUAAAGAGCGCGCAGGCGGUCGUUCAAGUCGAGUGUGAAAGCCCCCGGCUCAACUGGGGAGGGUCACUCGAUACUGAUCGACUCGAAGGCAGGAGAGGGAAGUGGAAUUCCCGGUGUAGUGGUGAAAUUCGUAGAUAUUCGCAAGAACACCAGUGGCGAAGGCGGCUCACUGGCCCGGUACUGACGCUGAGGUGCGAAAGCGUGGGGAGCAAACAGG